rnacentral:rRNA from 1 species
GAUUAGAUACCGUCGUAGUCUUACACUGUAAACAAUGCCGUCUCAGGAUUGAGAAGUAACGAGAAAUCAAAGAUUAUGGGUUCAGGGGGGAGUACAUUCGCAAGGCUGAAACUUAAAGGAAUUUGCGGAAUGACACCACAAGGCGUGGAAUAUGCGGCUUAAUUUGACUCAACACGAGGAAUUUUACUAGGUCAGGACAAUGUAAGGAUUGACAGAUUGAGAGCUCUUUCUCGAUCCAUUGUGUGGUGGUGCAUGGCCGCUCCUGGUUGGUGGAGUGAUUUGUCUGGUUGAUUCCGUUAACGAACGAGAUCUCGACCCUUAAAUAUCUUCUUAAGGAGACUGUGUGCGUCUCGCGGAAGAGCGAGCCAAUAGCAGGUCUGUGAUGCUCCUAAAUGUCCUAGGCUGCACGCGCACUACACUGAUGCAAUAAACGAGUCCCUACCUGGAAGCGGGUGGGAAAUUUUUUGAACUUGCAUCGUGAUGAGGAUCGACGAUUGCAAUUAUUAUCCUUGAAUGAGGAAUGCCUAGUAGGCACAAGUCAUCAGCUUGUACUGAUUACGUCCCUGCCAUUUGUACACACCGCCCGUCGUUGCUACUGAUUGGCUGUAGGGUAGAGAUCGGCGGGAGAAACCGAUCAAUAUUCUGCAGCUAGAAGAAGCAAAAGUCGUAACAAGGUUGCUGUAGGUAACCUGCAGAAGGAUCA